rnacentral:rRNA from 1 species
UUUUGGUUCGGAAUAACCCCGGGAAACUGGGGCUAAUACCGGAUGGUUCCUUCGGGAUAAAGAUUUAUCGCCAAAAGAUGAGUCCGCGUACGAUUAGCUAGUUGGUGAGGUAAUGGCUCACCAAGGCGACGAUCGUUAGCUGGUCUGAGAGGACGAUCAGCCACACUGGGACUGAGACACGGUCCAGACUCCUACGGGAGGCAGCAGUGGGGAAUUUUGGACAAUGGGGGAAACCCUGAUCCAGCGACGCCGCGUGUGGGAUGAAUGGGUUAUGCCCUGUAAACCACUGUCAGCAGAGAAGAAAAGGUUCCUUUGGAACCCGGGACUGUAUCUGCAGAGGAAGGACCGGCUAACUACGUGCCAGCAGCCGCGGUAAUACGUAGGGUCCAAGCGUUAUCCGGAAUUACUGGGUAUAAAGGGUGCGUAGGCGGCCUUGUGCGUCGAAGAUUAAAGGCCAUGGCUCAACCAUGGAAAUGCCCUCGAUACGGCAAGGCUUGAGUAUGAGAGAGGAAGAUGGAAUUCCUGGUGUAGCAGUGAAAUGCGUAGAUA